rnacentral:tRNA from 1 species
UGGAGUGUAGCUCAAGUGGUAGAGCGCUUGCCUAGAUAUGUGUGAAGCCUUGGGUUCAAUUCCUAGCACUGCAA